UCGGAUUCAUUACACUUGUGAUCUUUAGUAGACUCUUCAUGGUUUUCUGGUGUAGUUGAGAUGUCAGCACUCAUAUGAUUGGAAAUUGAAUUAGGGUAUCCAUCUUCACAAGCAAAACUAGAUCUUAAUGAUGAACGCUUUCGCUUGUAUGUGAAAACCACUUUACUGCCAACCAUUUGGACUGUUAUAGAUGACUUCUGCAGCUGGACUCUAGAACUUUACCCCUCUAGAAGAAUGAAGCAUUUCACUUCUUACAUACAGUAAAAUACCAGUUGAUUUUCAAAUCAUUUAGAUAACUGCGAAAGUAGAUUGAUUGAUUAAAAACUAAAUAAGAGAGAGAGAGAGAUGUUUCACAUGGGCCAAUAGUUACUGAGAAAAAGAAAGUCAGCAGAACAUGCUAUAAAAGGAAAAUUCAGUUUAUAAAUUCUACAAUUUAAAGUAACUACUGAUAUACCAAAACUAGAUGCAUAUGAAAUUAUGAAUCUAAAAAACAUAUUGAUAUUUUUUUUAUUAGCAAAUCCAAAUCAGAUGUUGUCCAUAUAGUAAAUAAAACAAUUUUUCGGAAAUAAAAUGGAUGUAAUCCAGAUGUGAGGGCAAAUAGCUAGCCAUAUUACAUGAGAAUUUGCAAACUCUGACAGGAACCAUUGCAGUAAACACUUUAAUAUACAAACAGAGAGUUUUUAUCUCCUACAAUUUCGACAUUUCAAAUUCUAAUUAAUCACAGUAUAGAAACAAGACAAUUUUAUGUGAUUCUUGUUGGAACUUGUGACUCAUAACAUAGAAACUACUGAAAAAGGCUAGUGCGGAGCGGAGCGAGGGGCCCCCCGCGGUACGGUACAGAGUUUCUGCAUGUAUGACACGGGACGCGCCGAUGCAAGGCUAGGAGUGGCGCGGGGCGCGCCAGUAUUUGAGACAUAAUGUGAAGUAGGGUUGGAAUAUGAUUAGUGGCUAUAAAUACUAUCUAUUGUAAAGCUUUAUGUAACCAAGGAAUCAUCAAUAAAACAACAAGCCGCCUGUGAAGAACCCAAAUUGGGGAACCACGUAAAUCUUUGUGUUAAUUAUUAAUUCUCUAUUGUCGUGUGUGUGUGAUCCUAAUUUCUAACAAUCCUCAUUGACAAUAAAUUUAAAACUUUUCAGGAUGUAUUUAUGUCAAGUGAAUUCAAUCAUGCAUUUCUUUCAAAUUGCACAUUUCUUGUGAAAUCCCUACAGCUGUUUUGCACCUCGGAAAAACUGACAGGAAAAGGAAAAAAAUGCUAAAAACAACUUAAUUCCCUUUAUUAAACACAAAGUCGACUAUCUGUAUUAUUAUAAAACCUAAUACCAAUUAAAUUAUACAUUCACAUGUGAUGGAUCUCUAUGGAAAACUUUUCUUUUUCUACUUCUUUUUUCUUUUCUUAUCAUCCCUCAUUUUUCCAGUGUUCCUACUGUAAAAUACCUCGUAUACCACAGGAUUAAACCAAAAUUUGAAUAGCAAACCAAUGGAGCUAAGUUACUUUCCAAUACUGUUUUUCCUUGAGCAAAAUUCUUCGGCUUAUCUCUUUUUGAACCAUUUCGGUAAAGUAGAAUUCAACCAAAAUAGCAAAACAGAAGUUUAAAAUUAUUUGUUAAAAAUUAAUUACAAAGUCUCUAAUAACAGAGCAAAAAAAAUUGUUCCAAAACUAUCAACUACAAUACUCUAUCAUGUCCACAAGUUAAUAACAUUCCCAAAUAAACACUUCCUCGGCAAUUUUACUAACUUAACUUUGAAACUUUAUACCCUAUCCUAUACAGUGCAAUUCAUAUAGAUUUAAUUCAUGUCUCUAAAUAAUUAACAAAUAUACUUAUACUUAGAACCAUAAGUUAAUAAACAAACACAUUUAGUUAAGUACAGCUAGAAAACUGAACUAAAAGAAUAAUUGAUAGUCCCGAGGCCAAAAAUAUACAUACAUACACACAUAAUACUAGUGAAGAACACACUUGAGAUAUAAGAAGAAAGUAAACAAUUCAUCAGCAAUUUUACUAACUCAGAUUUGAAACUUUAUACCCCAUCCUUUACAAUGCAAUUUAUAUAGAUAGAGUAAAUUACCAAAUAUACUUGCACUUAAACCAGAAGUUAAAAAACAAACACAUUUCACCACUCCAAUCAAUGAAAAUUUUCAACUACAGCAACAAAACUUAACUGAAAGUAAUUGAUAGUCCCAAGGCCAAAUAUAUAUAUACAUUCAUAAAUGUAGAUUUAAUUUUUGUCUUUAAAUAAAUUAACAAAUAUACUUAUACUUAAAACCAGAAGUUAAAAAACAUACACAUUUCAUCUGUCCAGUCGAUGAAACUAAUUAAAGAUGAAAACUGAACUGAAAGAAUAAUUGAUAGUCCCGAGGCCAAAUAUAUACAUACAUACAUACAUACAUACAUACAUACAUACAUACAUACAUAACACUUGAGAAGAAAGUACGACGUAAAAUGAGUUACCUGAAUCUACUUGCCUGAGAAGAAGCCGGCCGGCGGUGAGGAUUUAAGAUUUGGAGAUAGAGUUGAGCCGUACUCUUACUUCUCUUCUCUCUUAUUGCCUUUUGUGAUAUACGUGGUAGAGUGCUUUCUUUUCUUUUUGGUCUGUUUGUAAACAGAGAAAGAGAGUGCAUAAAUUAGAGUGAGC
rnacentral:lncRNA from 1 species